CUGAAGACCACUCACCUGGUGAGAGAGUUUCUCCCAGCUUUGCUUGUCCCACAUGUGGAGGAUAGAGCUCAUCGCAACCGUCUGUCCAGGUGUGUAAUUUAGCAUCCUCAUUAGCAGCGCAAGGUGAGAUGGAAGGAGAAAGGCUUGGCUGGAGGCAUGUUGGACCUUUGCAUGUGAAGGAGUUUUUAAUGAUAUUCUUUGUGAGAAAAUUACCCCCUUUUCCUGGUUUCUGGGUACUUUUAUCAUGAACAGAUGCUUUUUCUUCAACUAAAAUGAUUUUUUUGGGAUGAUAUUGAUUUUUUUUCUUGACUGUUGAACCAGUCUUGCAUACCUGAGGAAAAAAAAUGCCACUUGCUCAUAUUAUAAAAUUCUCUUUAUACAUUGUUGUCUUCAAUUUGCUAAUAUAUUUGAGAAGUGUGUGUUUAAAUUCAUGAAAGAGAUUGGCCUGUAGUUUUCUAUUUUUGUAUUGUUUCUGUCUGACUUAGGCAUCAAGGUAAUACUGGACUCAUAAAAUGAGCUGAUCUGUAAUUAUGGUGGCAAGGGGAAACAAUUCCAACAACAAAACACAACUUAAUAUCCUGAGACGCAAGAGAUUGCGACCCCCUCCAUCUCUAUUUGUCUGCUCUCCACAGUUGAAGAUACUGGAUAGGAGUUCAGUGAUUUUUGCAGGCAGGUAAGGCUGGCAUGUGGAGGUGGAGGUCUGGAAGAAAUGUCAUUACUACUUUCUGCUCAUUCAAGCUGCAGUUCUGGGGGCUCUCUGGGCUGAAGACUUCUAGACCAAGGUCAUCCCAGGCUUCCUUCCAGGCCCAGGGAGGGUGAACUACCAUCCCCCAGCCUUCGAACUUGGGGUUGGUUGGGGCACAGCAGGAAAAAGGACUCCUCCUGCUUCCUAACUGGGAAGGAGGUAUGGAUGGGAGGGAGGAAUGGAUGAAGCCUUCUUACCCUGAUGAGAGAGAAACUCGGGGGGCAUCCAGACCUUCCAUUCUUUGGCAGGGAAGCCGUGACAAUAGUGGACUGUUCCAGGGACGCCUGUGAAGCAGGUAUUACUGGCUUAAUCCAAUCCAGGCGAAUCUUUGGGGGCCAGACUCGAGGACACAGAAUGAUUCAUAGCUCUUGCCUUGAGGAACAACCAGUGCAGCUCUGGGUUCCCCACCAUCAGCCAGGCACACACAAUUACACUCAGUUCAGUUCAGUUGCUCAGUCGUGUCUGACUCUGUGACCCCAUGGACUGCGGCACGCCAGGCCUCCCUGUCCAUCACCAACUCCUGGAGCCUGCUCAAACUCAUG